rnacentral:rRNA from 1 species
AGUGAACGCUGGCGGUAGGCCUAACACAUGCAAGUCGAACGACAGCACAGUAAGAGCUUGCUCUUACGGGUGGCGAGUGGCGGACGGGUGAGGAAUACAUCGGAAUCUACUUUUUCGUGGGGGAUAACGUAGGGAAACUUACGCUAAUACCGCAUACGACCUACGGGUGAAAGCAGGGGAUCUUCGGACCUUGCGCGAUAGAAUGAGCCGAUGUCGGAGUAGCUAGUUGGCGGGGUAAAGGCCCACCAAGGCGACGAUCCGUAGCUGGUCUGAGAGGAUGAUCAGCCACACUGGAACUGAGACACGGUCCAGACUCCUACGGGAGGCAGCAGUGGGGAAUAUUGGACAAUGGGCGCAAGCCUGAUCCAGCCAUACCGCGUGGGUGAAGAAGGCCUUCGGGUUGUAAAGCCCUUUUGUUGGGAACGAAAAGCAGCAGGUUAAUACCCCGCUGUUCUGACGGUACCCAAAGAAUAAGCACCGGCUAACUUCGUG